rnacentral:rRNA from 1 species
UACGAAGGGUACAAGCGUUACUCGGAAUUACUGGGCGUAAAGGGUGCGUAGGCGGUUCGUUAAGUCUGUCGUGAAAUCCCCGGGCUCAACCUGGGAAUGGCGAUGGAUACUGGGCAGCUAGAGUGUGUCAGAGGAUGGUGGAAUUCCCGGUGUAGCGGUGAAAUGCGUAGAGAUCGGGAGGAACAUCAGUGGCGAAGGCGGCCAUCUGGGACAACACUGACGCUGAAGCACGAAAGCGUGGGGAGCAAACAGG